rnacentral:rRNA from 1 species
CUGCGGAGGGAUCAUUACUGAGUGAGGGCCUCCGGGUCCGACCUCCAACCCUUUGUGAACCAAUCUUGUUGCUUCGGGGGCGACCCUGCCGCUUCGGCGGUGCGGCGCCCCCGGAGGCCAUCAAACACUGCAUCAUUGCGUCGGAGUAAAAGUAAAUGAAACAAAACUUUCAACAACGGAUCUCUUGGUUCCAGCAUCGAUGAAGAACGCAGCGAAAUGCGAUAAGUAAUGUGAAUUGCAGAAUUCAGUGAAUCAUCGAAUCUUUGAACGCACAUUGCGCCCUCUGGUAUUCCGGGGGGCAUGCCUGUUCGAGCGUCAUUUCACCACUCAAGCCUGGCUUGGUAUUGGGCGUCGCGGUGCCGCGCGCCUUAAAGUCUUCCGGCUGAGCUGUCCGUCUCUAAGCGUUGUGGCAACUAUUCGCUUCGGAGGCCGGGCGGCCGCGGCCGUUAAAUCUUUCACAAGGUUGACCUCGGAUCAGGUAGGGAUACCCGCUGAACUUAAGCAUAUCAAUAAGCGGAGGAAAAGAAACCAACAGGGAUUGCCCUAGUAACGGCGAGUGAAGCGGCAACAGCUCAAAUUUGAAAUCUGGCGCAAGC